rnacentral:lncRNA from 1 species
AACUUUUAUAACUUUUUAUCAAUUUUAAAAAAUUCUUUUAUUUUCCCAACGUUUUAUAUUCAUUUAGUUUUUCUACAUAAUUUUUAAAAUGUGAAAUGUGUCCAGCCUCUAAACUAGACAAAAGUACUUUGCAUUUAACAAAAACUACAUCUUCUGGGAGCUAAGUGAUGAGAACACAUGGACACAUAGAGAGGAGCACAAACACCGGGUCCUUUGGGAGGGUGGAGGGUGGAAGGAAGGAGAGAAUCAGGAAAAAUAACUAAUAGAUACUAGGCUUAAUAUAUUUAAUAACUAAAAAUAACUAAUGGGUGCUAAGCUUAAUACCUUAGUACCUUUCAUCAACUGGGUAAUAACAUAAUCUGCACAACAAACCCCAUUACACAAAUUUACCUAUGUAAUAAAAGUAUACUUGCAGCCCUCAACUUAAAAUAAAAGUUAAAAAAAUAUAUCGUCAUAUUUUUUUUAUUAUUAUUAUACUUUAAGUUCUAGGGUACAUGUGCACAACGUGCAGGUUUGUUACAUAUGUAUACAUGUGCCAUGUUGAUGUGCUGCACCCAUUAACUUGUCAUUUACGUUAGGUAUAUCUCCCAUUGCUAUCCCUCCCCCCUCCCCCCACCCCACGACAGGCCGCAGUGUGUGAUGUUCCACACCCUGUGUCCAAGUGUUCUCAUUGUUCAAUUCCCAUCUAUGAGUGAGAACAUGCGGUGUUUGGUUUUCUGUCCUUGUGAUAAUUUGCUCAGAAUGAUGGUUUCUAGCUUCAUCCAUGUUCCCACAAAGGACAUGAACUCAUCCUUUUUAUGGUUACAUAGUAUUCCAUGGUAUAUAUAUACCACAUUUUCUUAAUCCAGUCUGUCAUUGAUGGACAUUUGGGUUGGUUCCAAGUCUUUGCUAUUGUGAAUAGUGCCGCUGUAAACAUACAUGUGCAUGUGUCUUUAUAGUAGCACGAUUUAUACUCCUUUGGGUAUAUACCCAGUAAUGGGAUGGCUGGGUUAAAUGGUAUUUCUAGUUCUAGAUCCUUGAGGAAUUGCCACACUGACUUCCACAAAGGUUGAAAUAGUUUACAGUCCCACCAACAGUGUAAAAGUGUUCCUAUUUCUCCACAUCCUCUCCAGCACCUGUUGUUUCCUGACUUUUUAAUGAUCGCCAUUCUAACUGGUGUGAGAUGGUAUCUCAUUGUGGUUUUGAUUUGCAUUUCUCUGAUGGCCAGUGAUGACGAGCAUUUUUUCAUGUGUCUGUUGGCUGCAUAAAUGUCUUCUUUUGAGAAGUGUCUAUUCAUAUCCUUUGCCCAAUUUUUGAUGGGGUUGUUUCAUUUUUUCUUGUAAAUUUGUUUAAGUUCUUUGUAGAUUCUGGAUAUUAGCCCUUUGUCAGAUGAGUAGGUUGCGAAAAUUUUCUCCCAUUCUGUAGGUUGCCUGUUCACUCUGAUGGUAGUUUGUUUUGCUGUGCAGAAGCUCUUUAGUUUAAUUAGAUCCCAUUUGUGAAUUUUGGCUUUUGUUGCCAUUGCUUUUUGUGUUUUAGUCAUUAAGUCCUUGCCCAUGCCUAUGUCCUGAAUGGUAUUGCCCAAGUUUUCUUCUAGGGUUUUUAUGGUUUUAGGUCUAACAUUUAAGUCUUUAAUCCAUCUUGAAUUAAUUUUUGUAUAAGGUGUAAGGAAGGGAUCCAGUUUCAGCUUUCUACAUAUGGCUAGCCAGUUUUCCCAGCACCAUUUAUUAAAUAGGGAAUCCUUUCCCUAUUUCUUGUUUUUGUCAGGUUUGUCAAAGAUCAGGUGGUUGUAGAUGUGUGGUAUUAUUUCCGAGGGCUCUCUUCUGUUCCAUUGGUCUAUAUCUCUGUUUUGGUACCAGUACCAUGCUGUUUUGAUUACUGUAGCCUUGUAGUAUAGUUUGAAGUCAGGUAGUGUGAUGCCUCCAGCUUUGUUCUUUUUGCUUAGGAUUGACUUGGCAAUGCGGGCUGUAUUUUGGUUCCAUAUGAACUUUAAAGUAGUUUUUUCCAAUUCUGUGAAGAAAGUCAUUGGUAGUUUGAUGGAGAUGGCAUUGAAUCUAUAAAUUACCUUGGGCAAUAUGGCCAUUUUCACAAUAUUGAUUCUUCCUAUCUGUGAGCAUGGAAUGUUCUUCCAUUUGUUUGUGUCCUCUUUUAUUUUGUUGAGCAGUGGUUUGUAGUUCUUCUUGAAGAGGUCCUUCACAUCCCUUGUAAGUUGGAUUCCUAGGUGUUUUAUUCUCUUUGAAGCAAUUGUGAAUGGGAGUUCACUCAUCCUCAUGUAUUUCUUAUAAUGCUCUUCACACAAAAUGCAUCCUGUUUUUUGUUGUUUUUGUUGUUUUGUUUUUUUGAGACAGAGUCUCACUCUGUCAGCCAGGCUGGAGUGCAGUGGCAUGAUCUCGGCUCACUGCAACCUCCGAGUCCCGGGCUCAAGCAAUUCUCCUGCCUCAGUCUCCUGAAUAGCUGGGAUUAUAGGCGUGUGCCACCACUCCCGGCUAAUUUUUGUAUUUUUGGUAGAGACAGGGUUUCACCAUGUUGGCCAGGCUGGUCUCGAACUCUUGACCUCAGGUAAUCCGCCCACCUCAGGCUCCCAAAGUGCUGGGAUUACAGGUGUGAGCCACCACGCCCAGCCCACAUCCUGUUUUUUUAAUACUUUCCAUAAAGAGUUUUCCUCUUGUAUCUAGCAGCUUUAAUUACAUAUAUUAAUUACAAUGUUAAAUCUUAGUAAGCACUAUUUCCAGUGAGAAAACUGGAAGUGAUUUGAACUGUUUUAUGUCAGUAUCAAUAGAUUAAAACCAUUUCAUAAUUUUGAGAAAAAUGUCUGCUCAUUUUUUAUUAGCAGAUCUAAGUAUAUUGAGUUUUUAAAUAUUAAACAUAAGAUGCCAAAGUAUAUAAACUUUACCUUAUGUUUAAUAAUUAGUGUUUUAAUAUUUUAACUUAUCUAGAAAUGACUCAGACUCUUUAUGCUUACCAUUACUUAAUUUAACAUAACUUUUUAAUAUUUUAAAUUACUAAUAAAAAGUUUCUGUGCUUCUUGUUUCCACAGUUUUACCUAGUUUCCUGCCAAUGUUAACGUUUUGCAAAACUGGAGUUCAAUAUUACUGAAAGGUUCUUGUAUCAGUUCGAACCCUGAGAGCAUGCCAGCAGACAACACGAGGCGGUGUGGAGCAACACACUGUUUUAUUGAGCGCUUGGGUGCAGGUGGGCUGAGGCCUAAAAUGGCGUCAGCGCCAGAUGAGGCCAGGGCAGGGGUUUUAUAGUCUCCUGCAAACACAAAGUGUGUCAGUCGGAUGUAACUGCUAUGCACGGUACCCGGACGGCCUCUCUCUCAGUCUUCAGGGGGUACGUGUCUUCCAGCCAGCUCUCUUUCUGCUUCUGCUAUCUUGCUGAUGCAUGCUGCUGGCACAAGUUGCCUUGCGCCUUGGGACUGGGCCUGAGAAGGGAGGAGUUAUUCAUUCCCUUAAGUGUUCAGGCCCUGGGAAGAAUCUUUCAUUCCUGUGUAUUUGGUUAUAGAAAAAGGGAAAAGGGACGACUUUCUCAAUAACUACUCUAAGUGUGACAUGGGGGGUGGUGUGGGCACCUUGGAAACAAAGAAGAACUUAAUUUUGGGGGUAUUCUUUUUUUUUUUUUUUUUUUUGAGACGGAGUCUCGCUCUGUUGCCCAGGUUGGAGUGCAAUAGCGUGAUAUCGGCUCACUGCAAGCUCCGCCUCCCGGGUUCACGCCAUUCUCCUGCCUCAGCCUCCGGAGUGGCUGGCACUACAGGCGCCCGCCACCAUGCCGGCUAAUUUUUUGUAUUUUUAGUAGAGAUGGGGUUUCACCGUGUUAGCCAGGAUGAUCUCAAUCUCCUGACCUCGUGAUCCACCCACCUCGGCCUCCCAAAGUGCUGGGAUUACAGGCGUGAGCCACCGCACCUGGCUGGGGGUAUUCUUGAGAGACGGGUUGGUAUCCAUCAUGUCAUUGUAGCAGGAGGAUCGUCUGGAUUAUCUGGCGGCUAACUGUAGUUUCAACAAGAGUUUUAAUGGCUUUUAUUAUCCGUGGGAUAACACAGGGGAGAAAUAGGAGGAACCCAAUGAUGAAGAUGACUGUCCCUACCAGAGUUUUAAAUCCUCCUAAAUUAGAGAACCACCCUCCUAAAAGGUUUGUUGGGUCCCAUCCCUUCCAGGUUUGUACUGGUACAUGGGCUGAUUUUCUGAUGUUUGAAGGAAUUUCUAGAACCGCUUUUCCGUUAUCGUCUAUGUUAAGACAGCAAUUAGAGAUAUUAACUUACCACAGACCCCACCUUCUUCUGCUAAUAAGUAGUCUAGUGCUAGCCUGUUUUGAUAAAUUGCUGUGCACAUUUGGUUUUGUAGUUGCACAAGCAUUUCCAGGGCUGAGGCGGUUUGGUUAGUGAUUCUCUCUAGAACCGCCUGUAGUCCAAUUAUUCUAUUUAGGAUAUAUACGGGAAUGCAAUAACCCUAUGAACCAGCCUCAGACCAAGUGGCAGGACCGUUAUAUUCCAUGAUCUGUUGUGGAGGCCAUUCGCCCUCUUGCCAUCUUUGGCUUCCUCCUACCUUUAAGGAUCGUUUUUCUCUGUUUAAGUUAUCAUACACAGGGACUCUGAGGUGUCACCUGCCUGCUUUGGAAGUAAAAAGAAUCCAGGUUUUAUUAUGCCUAGGAAGCAAGUACCUUGCCAGUGAUAAGGUAGCCAUGAGUAAGCCUGGGUUCCACAUAUCCGAAAGAAUCCAUCGGGGCAAUCCAUUGUAGGCUGGUGUUCAUAGGAUUGUCCCAUAGUGCACUUAGGCGGGGGUAUGUGGCAUAAGGGUUAGUGAUGUUUGUACAGUUCCAGGCCCUUUUUGACGGAACACAAUUGAGGUAGCUUAAGUUAGUUCAUAAGACUGGGUGAGGUACUGAAACUCAAAUAUAAGAGGUAGAGUCUUCUGGAAAUGAACCGAGUCUUUUGUUAAUUUGAGAGAGAUCAGUGAGGGAGAAGGGAACAUGAACUCUAACAAUACCUUCAGUUCCUGCUACUUCCCGAAGGGGGCACUGUAGCACAGGCGCUAAAGUAAGGGUGGGGGCAUGGGCCAAAGAUGGCACCUGAGCGAGUAUGGGCAGGAGAGAAGGAAGAACCUGAAAGUGGUUCCUAUUGAGGGUUUGAAGGGGGAAAGGAGGUUGAGUUAACAGGCAGUGGAGGAUAGAUAGGGGUGUAAGGUGGCGAGAAGGGUUUACAAGCCUCAGGAGAGGGCAAUGAGGGAGGAGAAUGGGUACAGGCAAUACUAGAAUUGUCCUGAGGAGGGGAUGGUGUAGGAAAAGAAGUGGAUACUGCUGACUGGGAAGAUGGUCACUGGGAAGAUGGCGAUGGAGAAGAUGGCGACUGGGAAGAUGGCAGCUGAAAAGAUCGCAGCUGAGAAAAUAAAGAGGUGGCUUGGGGUUUAAAGAAGACGGUUGAGAGGGAGAGGUAGGGGCUGGGAGAGAUGCACAGCAGUCUGCUGGAUCCAGUGAGGAAAAAGAGGUGGAAUCAGGAGGAGGAGGGCGAUCUGGACGGCAAGAAUGGAGGAGAAGAAUUUGAACAAGUGAGCAAGAAUUGCAGAGGUCGGGUUGUGAUCUGAGUGCAAAUAGGCCUGAACAUAAGGAAUUUCUCCCCAUUUCUCCAGUCUUCGGCAAUAAUUGCUUAAAUCAGUUGAAAUUGCAAAGUUGAAUGUUCCAUUUGCAGGCCAUCUAAUUCGUACUGUGUCCAGACUGAAAUGCAAAAAAAGACAAGGUGCUUAGGGUGGAUAUCUUGCCUGAGGCCUAAGGUUUGCAGGGUUUUUUAUAUAAGACGCAGCCUAGAGGGCUGGCACACAUUGGAACCUUCUUGGACCGACAUUGGAUUUUCGGACUGGAGAAACCAAGAGAGGCCAUGUGGAUUUUUCCCUGUUAACUGGGCUCCCGGGGAACUUACCUGUAGGUGAGAUCAGUGACCUACAUGCAUGCACAUAGAGGUGACUGGAGGCUGAGCAGCUCCCUUUGUCCAGCUGCUGUGGUCUGCUGUCCGGGGUGGAGGGGUAGGUCCACAGGGAACAUGGACUGGAGCCCCUCUUGGGUUUCAGCACCAGAUGAAAUGUUCUUGUAUAAAUUCAAACCCCGAGAGCAUGCCAACAGACAACACGAGGCAGUGUGGAGCAACACGCUGUUUUAAUGAGCGCCUGGGUGCAGGCGGGCUGAGGCUUAAAACGGCGUCAGCACCAAAUGAGAAUUGGGCAGGGGUUUUAUAGUCUCCUGUAAACAGGAAGUGCCUCAGUCUGAUGUAACUGCUAUGCAUGGUAUCCAGAUGGCCUCUUUCUCAGUCUUCAGCGGGUGUGUGUCUUCUGGCCAGCUCUCUUCCUGCUUCUGCUAUCUUGCUGACUCAGGCUGCUGGCACAAGUGGUCUUGUGCCUUGGGACUGGGCCUGAGAAGGGAGAAGUUAUUCAUUCCCUUAAGCUUUCAGGCCCUGGGGAGAAUCUUUCAAUUACGAUCAGGAUAUUGACAUCAAUAUACUAAGAUGCAAAAUUUUCCCUCAAAACAAGGGUCAUUUGCGUUGUUCUUUUAUAGCUAAUGUCUCACGUGUGUCUGUGUGAAGAGACCACCAAACAGGCUUUGUGUGAGCAACAAGGCUGUUUAUUUCACCUGGGUGCAGGUGGGCUGAGUCUAAAAAGAGAGUCAGCAAAGGGUGGUG